GGAUGUUAGUUUUCUCGGACGGGAUGUGAAGUAAAUUAGGAGCUAACAUGAAGACUGUGAAGGCACGCCACUGUUAUUUUGUUUUGUUUUAACAUUUGUUAGUGGAGAGAAACUUUUGUUCUGACCUCUGUGUGUUUCGCCUUGCUCCACUUCCGUCCAGUGCUGAUUCUGAGACUUUAAGGACUGAUAAAUGGCAACAGCUCCACCACCACCACCACUCCCUCCUCCACCCUCUGUGAAUCAGGGCAUUUGUUGCUGUCCUACACCGUUCCCUCAGUAUGCUGCAAUACCAUUUGUCGCCCUUCCAGUCCAAGAGACAAGUCCUUCACCAGAAUCUUUACAUUAUGCAGAGGGUGAACCAGCUCCACCACUGCUGAUAGAUCAAAAUGGACCCCAGUCUCCUCCAAAGGAAGGACAAGAGGACAAUCCCUCUGAUAAUGAAGAGUCCCACCCAGUGCAGGAAACUGAGCCUACAUCAUAGUCCUAAACAUAGAGGAGAACGCUGAUCAGCCAUCCAGAAGGUCCAGGCUGGAGACCAACUGUCCUACAGCUCUAAAAACUAAAACCUGCAUUUACGGGUUCCUAAAAAUGCACCGAAACACUGAUAAAUGGUACUGUUGAGUGAGCACUUUGCUUCAUGUUGGGGCAAAAGAUGUUCAAAUAUGUUAAUUCAGCCUUCAUUUAUUUUCAUCCAAGUUAUUUGCAGCUACAUUGAUCAUGUAGCGCUUUGCUUUUUCAUGCACAUCUUUGCCAAAUACUACAAAUACAAAUACUACGUAAAACUCUUAUUCUUAAAAAAAUACAUAAUGAUAAUUUUUACAGACUGUUACAAACUAUUAUGUUUAAUUAUAUGGACAUGGGCAUUUAUGAAUGAGGAUAUUUUUUUUGGUAAAAUGUAGGGAAUUGUAGAAUGAAUUAUUUUUGUAGCUUGACCUUGAGCUUUAAGUCAAUACAUGUUGAUCUCUGCAGCUUCAUUUUUAGCACUUUUUUGUCUAUCUCCUCUGAGCUUGUUUAAUGGAAGCAUGUGCAACAGGGUACUAAAUAGUGAGAAUACUUAAUUCACAGUCAUUAAGCUUAGAGUACUUGGAUCAAAUGUACAGGUACAAUUGGUACAAUUCUUUUAUUUUAAUUUUUUAAUGUUUAUUUAAAUGAACAUUUUGAAACAAAUUGUAUUGUCACUUUCCCGAUUGUUUUAAUAAACUUAACUGAAGCCUG